rnacentral:rRNA from 1 species
ACUCUAAGCGGUGGAUCACUCGGCUCAUGGGUCGAUGAAGAACGCAGCAAACUGUGCGUCAUCGUGUGAACUGCAGGACACAUGAACAUCGACAUUUUGAACGCAUAUCGCAGUCCAUGCUGUUAUGUACUUUAAUUAAUUUUAUAGUGCUGCUUGGACUACAUAUGGUUGAGGGUUGUAAGACUAUGCUAAUUAAGUUGCUUAUAAAUUUUUAUAAGCAUAUGGUAUAUUAUUGGAUAAAUAUAAUAAUUUUUAUUCAUAAUAUUAAAAAAUAAAUGAAAAACAUUAUCUCACAUUUGAAUGUGAAAAACGAAGAGAAAUAUUUUCUUUUUCAAUCAAAUAAUACUGAGAAAUGUCUAGCAUAAAAAAUUGAAAUAUUUUUCAUCUAGAAUUGUCUCUUAUUAAUGAUUCGGAAAUAGAAAAAUCUUGGUUAUGUUAUUAUUCUUCGUUGGUUCGUUAAAAAUGGAUAAAUAAAAACUUUGCAUACAAGAAUUAAUAAAAAUGUUAUAACGAAUUUAAUUAAAUGUUUUAUCAUUAUAUAUAAAGAAUUUAUGGCAAGAUAAAGUUAUAUACAACCUCAACUCAUAUGGGACUACCCCCUGAAUUUAAGCAUAUUAAUUAGGGGAGGAAAAGAAACUAACAAGGAUUUUCUUAGUAGCGGCGAGCGAAAAGAAAACAGUUCAGCACUAAGUCACUUUGUCUAUAUGGCAAAUGUGAGAUGCAGUGUAUGGAGCGUCAAUAUUCUAGUAUGAGAAAUUAACGAUUUAAGUCCUUCUUAAAUGAGGCCAUUUACCCAUAGAGGGUGCCAGGCCCGUAUAACGUUAAUGAUUACUAGAUGAUGUUUCCAAAGAGUCGUGUUGCUUGAUAGUGCAGCACUAAGUGGGUGGUAAACUCCAUCUAAAACUAAAUAUAACCAUGAGACCGAUAGUAAACAAGUACCGUGAGGGAAAGUUGAAAAGAACUCUGAAUAGAGAGUUAAACAGUACGUGAAACUGCUUAGAGGUUAAGCCCGAUGAACCUGAAUAUCCGUUAUGGAAAAUUCAUCAUUAAAAUUGUAAUAUUUAAAUAAUAUUAUGAGAAUAGUGUGCAUUUUUUCCAUAUAAGGACAUUGUAAUCUAUUAGCAUAUACCAAAUUUAUCAUAAAAUAUAACUUAUAGUUUAUUCCAAUUAAAUUGCUUGCAUUUUAACACAGAAUAAAUGUUAUUAAUUUGAUAAAGUGCUGAUAGAUUUAUAUGAUUACAGUGCGUUAAUUUUUCGGAAUUAUAUAAUGGCAUAAUUAUCAUUGAUUUUUGUGUUUAUUAUAUGCACUUGUAUGAUUAACAAUGCGAAAGAUUCAGGAUACCUUCGGGACCCGUCUUGAAACACGGACCAAGGAGUCUAACAUAUGUGCAAGUUAUUGGGAUAUAAACCUAAUAGCGUAAUUAACUUGACUAAUAAUGGGAUUAGUUUUUUAGCUAUUUAUAGCUAAUUAACACAAUCCCGGGGCGUUCUAUAUAGUUAUGUAUAAUGUAUAUUUAUAUUAUUUAUGCCUCUAACUGGAACGUACCUUGAGCAUAUAUGCUGUGACCCGAAAGAUGGUGAACUAUACUUGAUCAGGUUGAAGUCAGGGGAAACCCUGAUGGAAGACCGAAACAGUUCUGACGUGCAAAUCGAUUGUCAGAAUUGAGUAUAGGGGCGAAAGACCAAUCGAACCAUCUAGUAGCUGGUUCCUUCCGAAGUUUCCCUCAGGAUAGCUGGUGCAUUUUAAUAUUAUAUAAAAUAAUCUUAUCUGGUAAAGCGAAUGAUUAGAGGCCUUAGGGUCGAAACGAUCUUAACCUAUUCUCAAACUUUAAAUGGGUAAGAACCUUAACUUUCUUGAUAUGAAGUUCAAGGUUAUGAUAUAAUGUGCCCAGUGGGCCACUUUUGGUAAGCAGAACUGGCGCUGUGGGAUGAACCAAACGUAAUGUUACGGUGCCCAAAUUAACAACUCAUGCAGAUACCAUGAAAGGCGUUGGUUGCUUAAAACAGCAGGACGGUGAUCAUGGAAGUCGAAAUCCGCUAAGGAGUGUGUAACAACUCACCUGCCGAAGCAACUAGCCUUAAAAUGGAUGGCGCUUAAGUUGUAUACCUAUACAUUACCGCUAAAGUAGAUGAUUUAUAUUACUUGUGAUAUAAAUUUUGAAACUUUAGUGAGUAGGAAGGUACAAUGGUAUGCGUAGAAGUGUUUGGCGUAAGCCUGCAUGGAGCUGCCAUUGGUACAGAUCUUGGUGGUAGUAGCAAAUAAUCGAAUGAGACCUUGGAGGACUGAAGUGGAGAAGGGUUUCGUGUGAACAGUGGUUGAUCACGAGUUAGUCGGUCCUAAGUUCAAGGCGAAAGCCGAAAAUUUUCAAGUAAAACAAAAAUGCCUAACUAUAUAAACAAAGCGAAUUAUAAUACACUUGAAUAAUUUUGAACGAAAGGGAAUACGGUUCCAAUUCCGUAACCUGUUGAGUAUCCGUUUGUUAUUAAAUAUGGGCCUCGUGCUCAUCCUGGCAACAGGAACGACCAUAAAGAAGCCGUCGAGAGAUAUCGGAAGAGUUUUCUUUUCUGUUUUAUAGCCGUACUACCAUGGAAGUCUUUCGCAGAGAGAUAUGGUAGAUGGGCUAGAAGAGCAUGACAUAUACUGUUGUGUCGAUAUUUUCUCCUCGGACCUUGAAAAUUUAUGGUGGGGACACGCAAACUUCUCAACAGGCCGUACCAAUAUCCGCAGCUGGUCUCCAAGGUGAAGAGUCUCUAGUCGAUAGAAUAAUGUAGGUAAGGGAAGUCGGCAAAUUAGAUCCGUAACUUCGGGAUAAGGAUUGGCUCUGAAGAUUGAGAUAGUCGGGCUUGAUUGGGAAACAAUAACAUGGUUUAUGUGCUCGUUCUGGGUAAAUAGAGUUUCUAGCAUUUAUGUUAGUUACUUGUUCCCCGGAUAGUUUAGUUACGUAGCCAAUUGUGGAACUUUCUUGCUAAAAUUUUUAAGAAUACUAUUUGGGUUAAACCAAUUAGUUCUUAUUAAUUAUAACGAUUAUCAAUUAACAAUCAAUUCAGAACUGGCACGGACUUGGGGAAUCCGACUGUCUAAUUAAAACAAAGCAUUGUGAUGGCCCUAGCGGGUGUUGACACAAUGUGAUUUCUGCCCAGUGCUCUGAAUGUCAAAGCUAAGACAGAGGGGCGAUUAUAAGGAGAAAAUAGAGCAGAUAAGAGGGCAAUCAGCUCUCGCCCCGGAAGUUGCUAAUCUAACCAUAAGGCGCCGCCCUAGUAGAAGUGAGCAAGACCACCAAGUAACAACAUCGGAAACAACUCCAAUCACUCCCUUCGAACAGUCGAACAGGGAAAUUUUGCGGACACUACGCGGGUAUAGCCCCGUAGAAUGCCAUUCCAAAUGGAGAGCCCAAGAGUUGCAAACUAUCAUUGAUAGGGCACAUCUCGAGGGAAAGGAAACCACUCUCCAAUGCUUAUCGCUAUAU